rnacentral:rRNA from 1 species
GCUAGCAGCCAUAUCACCCUGCAACUCACAACUGGCAGCUCACUAAAGCUAAGCAGGGCUGAGGCUGGUCAGUACCUGGUUGAGAGACCUCAUGGGAAAACCUGCAGUUGCUGCUGGAA